GUGAGGAGAACCUAAUGCCGGCCACGAUCUGUCACCUACGAGGGAGUGCGCUCCUACUUUCCGUUCAAGCCAACGGUAAUCAAAGGUAAUCUUAAGUAUGAGCAACACGCUCACACUUAAUCCUACAACGCUAACUAGUUGCAGCUAGCUAGAGCUCCUAUACAAGAUAGGACGAUGAUGCACACACAGGAGUGGUUACAGGUCACUAACUUCACUAAGACAACUAUAUUACUAAAGUAAAUGCACAACAAGACUAAAAGACUUGCACUAAGUAAGAACUCAGUAAAGUAAAGUAAGAAUAAUAUAUUAAUAAAAGGAAAGUCUUACAAAAGUAGAAAGGUACAAGAGCUAUACC
rnacentral:lncRNA from 1 species